CCCUUAGAUGUCCUGGGCCGCACGCGCGCUACACUGACAUGUUCAACAAGCCUCCUAGUUCGACAGGAUUUGGGAAAUCUUUGAACGCAUGUCGUGAUAGGGAUAGAUCAUUGCAAUUAUUGAUCUUGAACGAGGAAUUCCUAGUAAACGCGAGUCAUCAGCUCGCAUUGAUUACGUCCCUGCCCUUUGUACACACCGCCCGUCGCACCUACCGAUUGAAUGGUUUAGUGAGAUCUUCGGAUUGGCGCCACUGCGGCUCAGCAAUGGGCUCGGUGGAUGCCGAAAAGUUGAUCAAACUUGAUCAUUUAGAGGAAGUAAAAGUCGUAACA
rnacentral:rRNA from 1 species